AUGAACGCUGACAGAAUGCUUAACACAUGCAAGUCUUUGGCGAAGCUGUGCUUGCACCGCCUAGCCAAGGCGGACGGGUGAGUAACGCGUAAGGAACUUGCCCUGCAGUCAGGGAUAACAGACGGAAACGACUGAUAAGACCUGGUAAAGUCAGGCGGACUCAUGUCCAGCCUGAUGAAAAGAGAUGCUGCAGGAGAGCCUUGCGUCCUAUUAGCUUGUUGGUGGGGUAACGGCCCGCCAAGGCGAUGAUAGGUAGCCGGCCUGAGAGGGUGGACGGCCACAAGGGGACUGAGAUACGGCCCUUACUCCUACGGGAGGCAGCAGUGGGGAAUAUUGGACAAUGGGGGCAACCCUGAUCCAGCAAUUCUGUGUGCACGAUGAAGGUUUUCGGAUUGUAAAGUGCUUUCAGCAGGGAAGAAAAAAUGACGGUACCUGCAGAAGAAGCGACGGCUAAAUACGUG
rnacentral:rRNA from 1 species